GUGAUAAGGGAAGUUCAAUUCCUUGUGCUCAAAGAACAAGCACAUGGUGCCCAGAAAGAGACUUACUUUCACACUUCUCAUGGACUUGAAAAUAGUUCCACCAUUAAAAGACACUCAUGGUAAUAGUUUUCACUUCAAGGAUAUUAUGAUCACAUCCCAUUUUACCUUUUUUAUAGAAUAUUGGAAUCCCGUCAUCUAAGGUUUAGCCUAGCUUGGUCGAUAGCUAAGGCAUAUUAUUCGGCUGAUAGAGUUAGAUAUUCACUUCUCCAAAAUUCCCUGC
rnacentral:misc_RNA from 1 species